GACGAACGCUGGCGGCGUGCCUAAUACAUGCAAGUAGAACGCUGAAGAGAGGAGCUUACUCUUCUUGGAUGAGUUGCGAACGGGUGAGUAACGCGUAGGUAACCUGCCUUGUAGCGGGGGUUAACUAUUGGAAACGAUAGCUAAUACCGCAUAACAUGGGAUGACACAUGUAAUUUAUUUGAAAGGGGCAAUUGCUCCACUACAAGAUGGACUUGCGUUGUAUUAGCUAGUAGGUGAGGUAAUGGCUCACCUAGGCGACGAUACAUAGCCGACCUGAGAGGGUGAUCGGCCACACUGGGACUGAGACACGGCCCAGACUCCUACGGGAGGCAGCAGUAGGGAAUCUUCGGCAAUGGGGGCAACCCUGACCGAGCAACGCCGCGUGAGUGAAGAAGGUUUUCGGAUCGUAAAGCUCUGUUGUAAGUCAAGAACGGGUGUGAGAGUGGAAAGUUCACACUGUGACGGUAGCUUACCAGAAAGGGACGGCUAACUACGUG
rnacentral:rRNA from 1 species